GACAGAGGAUGCAAGCGUUAUCCGGAAUACUGGGCGUAAAGCGUGCGCAGGCGGUGAUGUAAGACAGAUGUGAAAUCCCCGGGCUCAACCUGGGAACUGCAUUUGUGACUGCAUCGCUGGAGUGCGGCAGAGGGGGAUGGAAUUCCGCGUGUAGCAGUGAAAUGCGUAGAUAUGCGGAGGAACACCGAUGGCGAAGGCAAUCCCCUGGGCCUGCACUGACGCUCAUGCACGAAAGCGUGGG
rnacentral:rRNA from 1 species